UACUAUGGGCCACUUUUUUGUGGUCCAUGGUUACACCACCUGCUUUUGACCUGCUAGUGCAGGUCCAGCAGGUAUUUUUAAAUUUUUAAAAAAUAAAAUACUUAAUAUAUUAUAUAUAAUUUGUUAUAUAGUUAGUAAUUUUCUUAAUGUUGAUUUGCACUAACUGAGUUAGGUAAUUGUAUCAGUAAAAAAAAAAAUUUGGAACAUAAUUAAUACAACUUAAACAAACUACUAAUUGGGUCAUGUAAUUAAUACAUACAACUUAAACAAACUAACACAAACUACAAUAAAUUUUCCCCUCCUUUCUAACUGAAAAUAACCCAAAUUCAUAUCCCGAUUCACCCCGAUUCAUUCACCCCAACUCCAGGACGGCUAGGGUUCAUGAGGUUUGAUUCUCAUCUUCAAAUCCUAUCCAGAUCUGACGCCUCCCUUCUCGGCAGCUUUCUUCUUUCUUCCUCAUCAACAGGUUCGUUGUCGCUUUUACCUUCUCAUUACUGCAUCUUCCUUCUGUGAAUGAUGUUGUAGAGGUUUUAUUGCUUUCACCUUCUAAUGAAUGUGUUCGAUCUGGGUUUCCUAUGCAGUAGUGUGGAACGGGUUGGUUAGGCGGUGGGAACGGGUUCGCUAGUGGGAACGGGUGGGUUCGGUGGCUGUUGAACAUGUCUUCCCAUACCCAGGAGUCUAGGUCGAACACUCUGAUAGAUGAUGCAGCACUUGGUUCCUCUGCGCUUCAGGGUCCUCAGCAUGUUGUUGGAGUAAUGGUUGAAGGAGGGGAAGGUGAUGUACAUGUCUUUGUUGAUGAGGAACAAGGGACUGAUGACGUUCAGGAAAGUGGAGAAGAAGGAGAAGAGCAAGGGACUGACUAUGAUGAAGAAGAUGAAAAAGAGUCUGAAAAUGGGGUUGAAGAACAAAAUGUUGAUGUGGAGCCGCCAACUGAGAUUGCUAUCAAUGGUUUAGAAGAUUUGGGGAUGGUAAAUUUCAAAGAACUAUCUGUCAAUAACAUAGUCACCUAUCACUUUCCGGAUCGUGAGGUUGCUUACUUGUUCUACAGUUGGUAUGCUCGGAUGCAUGGAUUUGCUGCGAGGAAGGCUAAGGUUCUAAAAAACAAUCACGGAGAUGUAAUCCAACAGAGAUUUGUUUGCUUCAGGGAGGGUAAAAGGAUAGAGAAAGCUGAGCCAGAGGUUGAUGCUCAUGCUGGUGAAAAGAGAAAGCGUUUUCCGAAAAAGGCCACAAGAUGUGAGUGUAAGGCUUAUUGUCAGGUCCAUGUUCAUAAGGAUAACAAGCGUUGGCAUGUUAGAUCUGUUUGUGAUGAUCAUAAUCAUGUACUUGUUGAAGAAAAUUUGAUUGGAUUGGCACCUACUCAUAGGAGAAUGAAUGAGGCCGACAUUACUCAAUUGAAUUGCUUUAGGAAGUCAGGCAUUACAACUCCACAGGCUUAUGGUGUGUUUGCCAACCAGAUGGGUGGAUAUCAAAAUGUUCCAUUUGGACCUAGACAAAUGUACAAUGAAAAAUUUAAAAAGAAGAAGGUGGAAGUAUGUGAUGCUAGAGGUGUGCUCGGUUUCUUACGUAAUUUGAAGGAAAAGGAUCCUGACUUGAUGUGGAAACACACCUUUAAUGAGGAAGGAAGGUUGGACAAGUUGUUUUGGAGUGAUGGAAUCAGCCGGGACAACUAUUUGUUGUUUGGGGAUGUGUUGGCAUUUGAUGCCACAUACAAGAAAAACAAGUACAAGCGGCCACUUGUGAUUUUCUCUGGAGCUAAUCAUCACAAUCAGACAAUUAUCUUUGCUGCAGCUUUAGUUUCUAAUGAGAAAGAGGAGACAUAUGUUUGGUUGCUUCAGAAUUUGUUAGAUGCAAUGCGGGGGAAAGAACCGGUAUCAGUGAUCACAGAUGGAGAUCCAGCAAUGAAAAAUGCGAUUAAAAGUGUGUUUCCAAAUGCGCAUCACAGGUUAUGUGCUUGGCAUCUUCUUCGGAAUGCAGUUAGCAAUGUUGCAGAACCAAAGUUUGUUCAAAUGUUUUCAAGAUGCAUGCUAUGGGAUCUUGAAAUUGUGGAGUUUGAGGACAGAUGGGCUCAAAUGGUUAUUGAAUGUGGGUGUGAAGACAAUGUUUGGGUUCAUGAUUUGUAUGAGCGGAGGAUGAUGUGGGCUGCUGCAUAUAUGCGGGGUGAAUUCUUUGUGGGCUUUCGUACAACCUCUCGGGUUGAGGGAUUACAUGCCCAAGUUGGGAAGUUUGUAGACUCAUGGAACAAUUUGACAGAUUUUAUGCACAACUUCUUUCGAUAUAUGAGUUAUCAGCGACAAAGGGAACUUGAAGCAGAUUUUGCAUCAAUGCACGGUGACCAUGUGCCGCAAACACAAUUGAAGAGGCUUGAAAAAUCAGCUUCCAACCAUUACACGAACAACAUUUUUAGGCUUGUCUCUAAGGGUCUUCACCGGUGUUUGAUGCUAAAGGUUAGUCUUUUCAAGGAGACUUCAACUUGCAUCAUUUACUUUGUUUCAAGGUUUUCUUUGUCUAGUAGGAAAUGGAAUGUGACUCUGUGCAAAACAACCAGUGAGUUCAAAUGCUCUUGUAUGAGGAUGGAAUCAUAUGGCAUUCCAUGCGAUCAUAUUCUUGCUGUUUGUAGAUAUCUAGACCUGCCUGGAAUUCCCUCAUCAUUAAUUAUGGGGAGAUGGAGCAAGUAUGCAAAAGAUGGGCUUGAGCUGCGUGGGGAACAAUUGGGUGCAUGAGACCCCAUGGAUAUGUGUAGAUUUACAGUAUUGAGGGAAAACUGCAGGCGAAUGUCUAAAGCAGCAUGUAGAGCACCGGAAACAUUCCGGGACACAAAUGAACUGGUUCUAAAGCAAGCAAGGAAGUUGGAGAAAUUGGAGAAAGGUGAUGGAGUGAAACAAACUGUGAAUAUGGUGGCCAACGAUGCUGAACAAUACUUGCGUGACCCACUCAAACCCAUCAAAAGGCGCAUUGGUGGUGCUUCUAGAGGUAGUGGACCGGGGAGGCGUACUUCCCACUGUGGUCUUUGUGGCGGAGCAGGCCAUAAUCGGAAAACAUGCCUACGGGCCACACAGUGAAGUGGGGCUGCACUAUUGGAAGGGAAUCACACACUAUCUAUCUUGGAAGGGGAACCUCGUCGGUGGAUGUUGGGUGCUCUGAGUAGCACGGUUGUUUCAGUAAUGUUAUUCGUGGAUUUGUAAUGUUCUUUUUCAUAAAUUGGUGUGGAUUUGUAAUGUUUUAUUUGAACUAUCAGUACUUUAAAUGGUCUGUUUUUAAAAUUCCUGGUACAAUAUGCUUGUUACAUUUGACAUGGUAUGUACUAAAUUGUGUAUUUCACUUGUAAUAUGUGAGAUGUGUAUUUCACUAGUAAUUUGUGGGGUUUGGAAAUGGUUUUCAAACAUUUUUAUGUGAGGAG